AAAAUCAGGAGGUGGAUGAUGGCAGGCUGCUCCUUCGGGCCCCUCAAGAAGUCUGUGGUUGGAGCCAGGAUCAGAACUGAAGGCUCCUGGCUGCACACGCAGCUCCAGCCCAGGUAUUACACAUGUCUCUGAUGUCUCCCAGCCUUUGGAUGUAAAAGGAUAAACUUCAGGCAAAGCAGAGCAAAAGAAAUGAGAUGAGAAUAAGCAUGCCAUGUCCUGGAGAGCCAUGGGGUUUCCGCUCAUUCUACGAAGCGUUUGGCGGGGUGAAAGUUAGCUGGGAGCCUUGGUGGAUGGGAGCCUCUCUGUCUUGGAAAUUCAGUAUAAAACAAACCCAUCUUGCACCCCUGGACACCUGCAAGCUAAAGGACUAUGAAGAUGUCUACAUUUGCCUGAAAAGGAGUAACUCUUGCUUUGGAAGAUGAUUCCUUUUAGAAGGUAAGUGGGCUUGCAAUGUGGUGCAUAGCUCUGGCUAAAGUCUACUCAAAUCCAUUAAAGCCAGUAAGCCACUAAAUCACUAGUAAAAUGAACUUCAAAUGUCUACCAAUGUAAAGAUCACUUGAACUUUCUUUAAAAAAAUUAUUCAGCCACACCUCUACUUCUGCUUUGAUGUGAAAGGCAGUGAAGCAGAAGACGUUUCCUUUCUGUCAGAGGAUUUUUCACCUAAAAGUCACCACCAUGCUGGUGACUAAUACUUGGUUCUUAGCUCAUCCUUUGCUUUAAUUUUCUCUAAUGAUAGAGAAAUAACAAAGUGUAAGACAAGCAGAAAAUUGGGGAGGGGGGAUGGUUGUCUUUAUGUGUAUGUAUGUGUGUUUGUGUUUGACCUUACUUUCAGGAUAAAUUACCCCAAAACUCUGUU